AUUGAACGCUAGCGGGAUGCCUUACACAUGCAAGUCGAACGGAGUGGCGAACGGGUGCGUAAUGUAUCGGAACGUGCCCAGUAGCUGGGGAUAACUACGCGAAAGCGUAGCUAAUACCGCAUACACUUGGCGUGGCCGAUAUGGGAUUAGCUAGUUGGGGGGGGAACGGCUCACCAAGGCGACGAUCCGUAGCUGGUUUGAGAGGACGACCAGCCACACUGGGACUGAGACACGGCCCAGACUCCUACGGGAGGCAGCAGUGGGGAAUUUUGGACAAUGGGGGAAACCCUGAUGCAGCCAUCCCGCGUGUGCGAUGAAGGCCUUCGGGUUGUAAAGCACUUUUGGCAGGAAAGCGGUACCUGCAGAAGAAGCACCGGCUAACUACGUGCCAGCAGCCGCGGUAAUAC
rnacentral:rRNA from 1 species